UGGGGAAUAUUGGACAAUGGGCGCAAGCCUGAUCCAGCCAUGCCGCGUGUGUGAAGAAGGCCUUCGGGUUGUAAAGCACUUUUGUUGGGGAAGAAAACCUGUUGGUUAAUACCCGGCGGGAAUGACGGUACCCAAAGAAUAAGCACCGGCUAACUUCGUGCCAGCAGCCGCGGUAAUACGAAGGGUGCAAGCGUUACUCGGAAUUACUGGGCGUAAAGCGUGCGUAGGUGGUUCGUUAAGUCUGCCGUGAAAGCCCCGGGCUCAACCUGGGAAUGGCGGUGGAUACUGGCGGACUAGAGUGCGGUAGAGGGUGGUGGAAUUCCCGGUGUAGCAGUGAAAUGCGUAGAGAUCGGGAGGAACAUCUGUGGCGAAGGCGGCCACCUGGACCAGCACUGACACU
rnacentral:rRNA from 1 species